rnacentral:rRNA from 1 species
UGGGGAAUAUUGGGCAAUGGGCGAAAGCCUGACCCAGCAACGCCGCGUGAAGGAAGAAGGCCCUCGGGUUGUAAACUUCUUUUAUGAGGGACGAAGAAGUGACGGUACCUCAUGAAUAAGCCACGGCUAACUACGUGCCAGCAGCCGCGGUAAUACGUAGGUGGCAAGCGUUAUCCGGAUUUACUGGGUGUAAAGGGCGUGUAGGCGGGACUGCAAGUCAGAUGUGAAAUUCCAGGGCUCAACCCUGGAACUGCAUUUGAAACUGUGGUUCUUGAGUGAUGGAGAGGCAGGCGGAAUUCCGUGUGUAGCGGUGAAAUGCGUAGAUAUACGGAGGAACACCAGUGGCGAAGGCGGCCUGCUGGACAUUAACUGACGCUGAGGCGCGAAAGCGUGGGGAGCAAACAGGAUUAGAUACCC